rnacentral:rRNA from 1 species
AGUGAACGCUGGCGGUAGGCCUAACACAUGCAAGUCGAACGGCAGCACAGUAAGAGCUUGCUCUUACGGGUGGCGAGUGGCGGACGGGUGAGGAAUACAUCGGAAUCUACUUUUUCGUGGGGGAUAACGUAGGGAAACUUACGCUAAUACCGCAUACGACCUACGGGUGAAAGCAGGGGAUCUUCGGACCUUGCGCGAUUGAAUGAGCCGAUGUCGGAUUAGCUAGUUGGCGGGGUAAAGGCCCACCAAGGCGACGAUCCGUAGCUGGUCUGAGAGGAUGAACAGCCACACUGGAAAUGAGACACGGUCCAGACUCCUACGGGAGGCAGCAGUGGGGAAUAUUGGACAAUGGGCGCAAGCCUGAUCCAGCCAUACCGCGUGGGUGGAGAAGGCCUUCGGGUUGUAAAGCCCUUUUGUUGGGGAAGAAAAGCAGCAGGUUAAUACCCCGCUGUUCUGGCGGUACCCAAAGAAUAAGCACCGGCUAACUUCGUGC